CUCCUUUUUUUUGGGUGGGGGCCCGGGGAGUUCCCUUGGUUUUCCUUCCUUUUAGGGGGGGGAUUUUUUCCCCCCCCCCAAAAAAAAAACCGGGGGGGGGGGGGGGGGAGCGACAGGAGAGCGGCGCAUACGGAUGACGCAAGUCACCUAGCAACAGUUCUUCCUCCCCUCCUCUCCUCUCUCUCCGGAUUCCCUGCCCCCCCCCCGCCCUUUUUCCUCCUUCCACCUACCCACCCCCAAGUAACUUGGGCGCCCGCUGAUGAUGCUGAGGUGGAAGAGGAAGUCGCAGCUGAGGGAGACUAGGGGGAGGUGGGUGCGCCUCAGGCCGCCCCAGCCGCCGCCGCGUAAAAGGGAGGAGGGAGAGGAAGGGGAGGAGUUGAGGCAGCUACAGUUGCCGCCUCUUGCCCCACCCCCAGCCUCAAUGAGGUGGCGAAGGAUGAAUGUUGAUAGUAGGGGUUCCUCCACCCUAGGGGGUAGAAAAAGGGGAGUGUGCAGACUAGAAGGACGGGAGCCCCCCUCCCCCCGCAGCGGGAGCGCGCGCAGGCGCAGUACGCGCACGCAGACGUCUCGGCGGUCGGGAGGUGAGAGCGAGCGGCUUCACUCGGAGCUCCGAGCCCCGAGGGGAUUCAAGCAACCGCUCAUCCCUCCCGGAGCAGAGCGCCGGGCCUCGCUGCUCUGCAACCCUCCGCGAGGGCUGAAAUUGACUUUUCUCAAGUAGCACUGAGACCUGCUUCCAGGUUAGACAUCCUGUGGUGAUACAGCAUUGUGAGAGACUGUUGAUUAAUGACUGCAGAGAAGGUGGAGAAAGGAAAUCAGAAGGUGGUCACCUGGGGGCAACUCAGCCAUGGAACUGAAGAAGGGAGAGAACUACAGCUGAGUGCCAGUGUGUGGGAUACUGUACCAAGCCUGAAGGAAAGGAGGCUAGAAUCUAGCUGGGACCAGUUCUGACCUCACUGAAAGUAUUUUAUGCAAGGACUAAAAGCACUUUGUACUAGUGAAUUCCCCUGUGUGGGAAGAACCAGAGACACCUUGGGGAUUUGCCAUCCCAGGAAAAAGAAUGAGAAACUGAAUGAUAGGGGAAUAAAAGAAAAAAAAGUUGAGUGUGAUUAAAUAAA
rnacentral:lncRNA from 1 species